UUCUUGGGUUAGAAAAUGAUACCUAUAAAUUAAAAAGUGUAAGAGUGGUGCGGGCAUACACAAGCAUGUGGGUAGAUCUUAACCAUUCAUGCCAUGAAUUGCUCUAAACGGGCGUCAAGAUUAGUCAUGGCUAUUAAAGCGAGUAAGUCUUACAAUACAUCAACAAUAAUAUGUCCACUUCCAAGUGUGUUUGUGUGACGGACUCUCACCAUUUACAUAAAUGUGAUGCAAACAGUUAUGGUGUUUGGUGUUCUUUUUCUUUGUAUAUGAAUGUUCGUUUGGGGUGAAGUCACUUUACAUAUCAAUUGGGUACAUAGAAUUUUUUUUUUAGAUAUCUAGACGAAAAUGAAAAUAGUUAUAUUCAAUCCUGUUAUAAACUUCUUAUUUAAGAUUAGAUUUGAUUCUAGUUAUUCUUCCAUAUUAGGACUUGUAUUCCUUGGAGGAGAAUGAUUUCUUCUCUAUCUUAUUACUAUAAAUAAAGGCACUGCGUAGGAGGAAUAACACAUCCCCUACACAGCCCUAUAAACACAUCUCUCUAUAUUUUCUCUAUGCCGUCAACCCCCUUUCCCUGUCAGUUAAAUAUAGGCCACAACACGUUAUCAACGCGCUCCUACUGUUGCGCUUAGGAAUAUGAUGUGGAAGUUUUCUGCAUCAAACCAGUUCACCAAUAUCAUCACACAAUCAGGUUAUUUCAAAACAACGGUUUUUAUCUCGAUAUUUUUGUAGCCUUGACAGCAUGAACAUUCACCAUAAUGUCCAUCCUAUAUAUGUUCAUUCAUUAAAUUAUUUAAUUAAAUAUGCAUUGAAUCAAUUGAAAAAAAAAUCGAAUUUUUUUAGGGUUCUUUGAACCCAUGAACCGAGCCUACACCGAAGCUAGAAGCUUUACGCAUUUGGAACCUAGACCCAUGACAUCGUUUCGACGUCGUCCACCUGCCAAACUCUGACGC
rnacentral:lncRNA from 1 species